rnacentral:misc_RNA from 1 species
AAGUCGUAACAAGGUUUCCGUAGGUGAACCUGCGGAAGGAUCAUUACUGAAGUGAUUUGGGGAUGUUGCUGGCCUCUUCUUUUCGAGGGGCAAACGUGCACUCCCUGAACAAUUCACAAUUUCCAUCACACCCUUGUGCACAUCUUGUAGGCGCCCACUCACCUCUCUUGGUCGGGGCGUCCUAUGUAUUCCUUCAUCUCACACUUUAUUGAAUGGUGCUCUUGAACGCAUCUCAUGGAUUAUUUGUAAAAAAAGUAAUCACAGAAACAACUUUCAACAAUGGAUCUCUUGGCUCUCGCAUCGAUGAAGAACGCAGCGAAAUGCGAUAUGUAAUGUGAAUUGCAGAAUUCCGUGAAUCAUCGAAUCUUUGAACGCACCUUGCGCCUCUUGGUAUUCCGAGGGGCAUGCCUGUUUGAGUGUCAUUGAAUCCUCAAAGGAAAAGCUUAACUGCUUUCUCUUUUGGAAUUGGAGCGUGCUGGCCUUCUGUUGUAUGAAGCCCAGCUCCUCUGAAAUACAUUAGCGAUGUGACAUCCGCAUGGCACCACGCUUGUCCGGCAUUGAUAGUGUCUUCAUGCCUGAGCGUGUUGUGCAGCUGUGGAAAGUUUCGCUCGCUCAUAGCUUGAUGGGGUCGGCCCAUCCUUUGACCAAUUUAACCUCAAAUCAGGUAGGAUUACCCGCUGAACUUAAGCAUAUCAAUAAGCGGAGGAAAAGAAGCUAACAAGGAUUCCCCUAGUAACUGCGAGUGAAGCGGGAAGAGCUCAAAUUUAAAAUCUGGCGGUCCUCUGAGCUGUCCGAGUUGUAAUCUAGAGAA